rnacentral:tRNA from 1 species
GGUAUUGUAGCUUAGUAGUAGAGUGUUUGCCUCGCAUGCAUGAAGCUCUGGGUUUGAUUCCUCAGUGCCA